rnacentral:rRNA from 1 species
CAUGCAAGUCGAGGGGUAACAUGAGAGCUUGCUCUUGAUGACGACCGGCGCACGGGUGAGUAACGCGUAUGCAACCUUCCUUUAACUGGAGAAUAGCCCCCGGAAACGGGGAUUAAUGCUCCAUGGUAUUUUUCUGCCACCUGACAGAGAGAUUAAAGUUCCGACGGUUAAAGAUGGGCAUGCGUGACAUUAGCUAGUUGGCGGGGUAACGGCCCACCAAGGCUACGAUGUCUAGGGGUUCUGAGAGGAAGGUCCCCCACACUGGUACUGAGACACGGACCAGACUCCUACGGGAGGCAGCAGUGAGGAAUAUUGGUCAAUGGACGCAAGUCUGAACCAGCCAUGUCGCGUGCAGGAUGACUGCCCUAUGGGUUGUAAACUGCUUUUGUACGGGAAGAANUNUACCUACGAGUAGGUAAUUGCCGGUACCGUACGAAUAAGCAUCGGCUAACUCCGUGCCAGCAGCCGCGGCAAUACGGAGGAUGCGAGCGUUAUCCGGANUUAUUGGGUUUAAAGGGUGCGUANNCGGAAUGGUAAGUCAGUGGUGAAAUCCUGCANCUCANCACUGUAGUUGUGCCAUUGAUACUGUCAUUCUUGAGUAUANAUGANGNAGGCGGAAAAUGAGUAGUGUANCGGUNAAAUGCAUANAUAUUACUCANAACACCANNUGCNAAGGCAGCUUACUAAACUAACACUGACNCUGAANCACNAAAGCGUGGGUAUCAAACNNNAUUANAUACCCUGGUAGUCCACNCCGUAAANNNNNAUUACUGGUUG